GGUAUGUUAUUGGUUAUAUAUAACAUGGCUGUCCUACUGAGCCAUUAUCGGCCUAAUGGCACUAUAUUUGCCUUUACAGACGAUAAAAGGGUACAACAGAAAUUGGCUUUGUAUCAAGGAGUAUGCCCCAUUUACAUGGAGUUUGCAGACGAUGCUGAAGAAACCUUUUCAAAUGCUCUUCAAGUGUUAAAG